rnacentral:rRNA from 1 species
GAUGAACGCUAGCGGCAGGCCUAAUACAUGCAAGUCGGACGGGAUCGGGGAGCUUGCUCCCCGUGAGAGUGGCGCACGGGUGCGUAACACGUAUGUAACCUACCUUUAUCAGGGGGAUAGCCUCUCGAAAGAGAGAUUAACACCGCAUAACAUCACAUGAUAGCACUAUCGAGUGAUCAAAUAUUCAUAGGAUAAAGAUGGGCAUGCGGGACAUUAGCUAGUUGGCGGGGUAACGGCCCACCAAGGCGACGAUGUCUAGGGGAUCUGAGAGGAUGACCCCCCACACUGGUACUGAGACACGGACCAGACUCCUACGGGAGGCAGCUGUAAGGAAUAUUGGUCAAUGGACGCAAGUCUGAACCAGCCAUGCCGCGUGCAGGAGGACGGCCCUACGGGUUGUAAACUGCUUUUGUACCGGAAUAAACCCUUUUACGUGUAAGAGGCUGAAUGUACGGUAAGAAUAAGGAUCGGCUAACUCCGUGCCAGCCGCCGCAGUAACAC